UCGAUCUUAAUCCCAUAAACCAUUAGCAUAAUAAUGAGUAUUCAAUUAUUCCUUUAAUUUGUAUUAUUCGUUUAUCAUAUUCUUUAGGGUUGGAUUAUUUAUACUCGAAUUUCCCACUCAUUUUUCAUUGAGAUUUUCCCAUUCGAAUAUUGGAGCUACUUUCGUUUCCGUUUCACGGUGCGUCUCGGUUCUUCAUUUGGGUUUCUAGCUGACAAAUUUGUGCAUAGUGAAUGAACUGAAGGAGCGUACUUAGAAGGGAUUUUUGGGGAAUUAUUUAUACAAUCGGGGAAGCAAUAACGUUUGUCCCGGAUAUGGAUUCUGCCAGUGAAGCUGGUGGAGUUGCGGGCACAGUAUUAAUGCGAUUUGUGUGGCCUCAUGGGGGUCAAAGUGUAUUUCUGAGCGGUAGUUUUUAUAGAUGGGCUAGGCUUGUGCCUAUGUCGCCGAUGGAAGGUUGCCCUACAAUAUUUCAGGCCGUUUGCAGUAUAACGCCCGGUUAUCACCAGUAUAAAUUUUUGGUUGACGGAGAAUGGAAACACGAUGAGCGCCAAUCUUGCUCGACAAGUGAAUGUGGGGUAGUGAACACUGUCCUGUUCACUGGGGAAGCCAAUUACGAUUUUAUUAUGGGUCCAGAGUUGAGACAUGUGGACCAUGCAUCAGAUGGUACAUCAAUUGAUGUGUUACCGAGGAUAUCAGAGGCUGACUUACAGGCCUCUCGUCACCGCAUUUCUGCAUAUUUGUCAACUCAGACCACUUACGAGUUACUUCCCCAGUCAGGCAAGGUUGUUGCUUUGGAUGUUGAUUUGCCGGUAAAGCAAGCAUUUCAUAUUUUAUAUGAGAAGGGAAUUCCUAUGGCUCCUCUCUGGGACUUCAGCAAAAGCCAGUUUGUUGGGGUGCUCAGUGCAUUGGAUUUCAUUUUAAUAUUGAGGGAGCUUGGAAACCAUGGAUCAAAAUUGACAGAGGAAGAGCUUGAUACACACACCAUAUCUGCCUGGAAAGAGGGAAAAUCAUAUCAUAAUAGACAAAUUGAUGGGAAUGGGAGGGCAUUUUCUAGACGUCUCAUCCAUGCUGGGCCAUAUGAUACCUUGAGAGAAGUUGCUUUGAGAAUAUUGCAAAAUGAGGUGUCUUCAAUUCCAAUUAUCCAUUCAUCUUCUGAAGAUGGUUCAUUUCCCCAGCUAUUGCAUCUUGCUUCACUUUCUGGAAUACUUAAAUGCAUUUGCAGAUACUUUAGACAUUGUUCUGGCACCUUGCCUGUUCUUCAACUGCCAAUUUGUGCUAUUCCGGUGGGUACAUGGGUCCCAAAGAUUGGAGAAUCUAAUAAACGCCCAUUGGCAAUGUUGAGACCUAGUGCUUCGCUUAGUUCAGCUCUAAACUUGUUGAUUCAAGCUCAAGUAAGUUCAAUACCAAUAGUUGAUGAUAACGACUCAUUACUGGAUAUAUUUUGUCGGAGUGAUAUAACUGCCUUGGCGAAAGAUAGAGUUUAUACACAUAUUAAUAUUAGUGAAAUAACUAUUCAUGAGAUUGCAAACAAAACCUUAAGGCUGCACUUGCUGGUCGGAUGUUGAGAAUCAAUGUAUGACUUCGCAGACAUGGCAUCAAGAUUCAAUUAAUACUGUUUGAAUCUGGUUUCGGCUUCAUGAAUUUGUUUGAAUUACUAAGCAUUGUGUAUGACAAUGUUUUUUAUGUGAUAUCAUCAUAUUUAAAAUGCAGUUUAAAAUUGGGAAUCCAUGCUAUGCAUCUUGCUUAUGUUGGGGUAUGGCUUUCUAUGCUUAUUAUCAUAUUAUUAUUUCAAUUGAUUAGGCUUUGCAAUUGGGACAAGAUUAUUAUUCUCCACAUGAGAGACUAAAUCAAAGAUGUCAGAUGUGUUUGCGUUCUGAUACAUUGCAUAAAGUGAUGGAACGAUUGGCAAGUCCAGGGGUUAGACGGCUUAUCAUUGUGGAAGCAGGCAGUAACCGUGUGGAAGGCAUCGUCACACUGAGUGACAUUUUCAAGUUCUUGCUUGGAUAAGUUCAAACUGGACAUUUUCAAGCUCUUGCAUGGAUGAGUUCAAACCAACCACGAAAGUUAUAACUUGAAAGAGAAUGUACAGUGGUUUUAUGACUACAGGCAUAUUUUAUUGCCGCAUCUCCUGCCUCGUUCGAAUGAGACUCCAAUACAUUCAACUUCAAUGUUACUUUGUUCUCACUUCUUUGAAAUCAACCAUUGGGUUGGCCUUGCUUGGUUGCCGUUCUCAGAAUCUCAGGCUAAUAGAGUGCAUGCAAAACUAUCCUUGUCCUCUAAUUUGUUUAUUCUCCCAUGCCCUUCAUUCAAGCCACUGAUGUAAAUUGCAAAAUUUUGAUGUGCGAGGGAGCAGCAUGGGAUGCGUAAAGUUGUAUGCUGCUGCCAAAUGGAGAAGAGCUAGGGAAGAGGAACUUCAAUGAAUAUUCUCUUCUAUGCUUCAUUAGGUUGUGAUUGGUCCUUAGAAAAUUUGAAGGGGUUGUGACCGGCUCUUUUUCCUUUUGGUGGUGUUCAUAGAUUAGAUUUUUAAUUAUUAUUUAGUCUUUGUGGUGAAAUUGAGCAGUUAGUUUUCGAGUUUUCAAAAAUACACUAAAUAGUCUAUAUAUAGUUUUGGAAAUUCAAUUAAAAAAUCUCUCAUGUUAAGUGUUA